rnacentral:rRNA from 1 species
UACGUAGGGGGCGAGCGUUGUCCGAAGUUACUGGGCGUAAAGCGCGCGUAGGCGGUCGAUUAAGUCUGGGGUGAAAGGUUCAGCGCUCAACGCGAACAGUGCCUUGGAUACUGGUUGACUUGAGUUGGGGAGGGGGAAGUGGGAAUUCCGGGUGUAGCGGUGAAAUGCGUAGAUAUCCGGAGGAACACCGAUGGCGAAGGCAGCUUCCGUG